GGGGAAUAUUGCGCAAUGGGCGAAAGCCUGACGCAGCGACGCCGCGUGAGUGAAGAAGGCCUGCGGGUUGUAAAGCUCUGUCGAGUGGGACGAACAACCGAUUAGUGAAUAGCUAGUCGGCCUGACGGUACACUAAAGGAGGCACCGGCUAACUCUGUGCCAGCAGCCGCGGUAAUACAGAGGGUGCAAGCGUUGCUCGGAAUUAUUGGGCGUAAAGGGCAGGUAGGUGGUCUCGUUUGUCGCGGGUGAAAUCCCUGAGCUUAACUCAGGAAGUGCCCUCAAAACGGCGAGACUAGAGUUCUGGAGAGGGUCGUGGAAUUCCCGGUGUAGCGGUGAAAUGCGUAGAGAUCGGGAGGAACACCAGAGGCGAAAGCGGCGACCUGGACAGAUACUGACACUCAACUGCGAAAGCGUGGGGAGCAAAC
rnacentral:rRNA from 1 species